AACAAACGCUGGCGGCGUGCCUAAUACAUGCAAGUCGAACGGGGAAAGCUUUCGGGUGAGUACUAGUGGCGCACGGGUGAGUAAUGCGUGGAUAAUCUGCCUUGAAGAGGGGGAUAACCAGUCGAAAGAUUGGCUAAUACCGCAUAAGACCACAGGAACUGAGGUUCUAGAGGUCAAAGGUUUUUCGCUUCAAGAUGAGUCCGCGUAAGAUUAGCUAGUUGGUGAGGUAACGGCUCACCAAGGCGACGAUCUUUAACUGGUCUGAGAGGAUGAUCAGUCACACUGGAACUGAGACACGGUCCGGACUCCUACGGGAGGCAGCAGUAGGGAAUAUUGCACAAUGGAGGAAACUCUGAUGCAGCGACGCCGCGUGAGUGAUGAAGGCCUUCGGGUCGUAAAGCUCUGUCGCAGGGGAAUAACACAAUGAAGGUACCCUGUAAGAAAGGAUCGGCUAACUUCGUGCCAGCCGCCGCAGUAACAC
rnacentral:rRNA from 1 species